rnacentral:rRNA from 1 species
AUUGAACGCUGGCGGCAUGCCUUACACAUGCAAGUCGAACGGUAACAGGUUAAGCUGACGAGUGGCGAACGGGUGAGUAAUACAUCGGAACGUGCCCAGACGUGGGGGAUAGCUCGGCGAAAGCCGGAUUAAUACCGCAUAAGCUCUGAGGAGGAAAGCGGGGGACCGUAAGGCCUCGCGCGUUUGGAGCGGCCGAUGGCAGAUUAGGUAGUUGGUGGGGUAAAGGCUUACCAAGCCUACGAUCUGUAGCUGGUCUGAGAGGACGACCAGCCACACUGGGACUGAGACACGGCCCAGACUCCUACGGGAGGCAGCAGUGGGGAAUUUUGGACAAUGGGCGCAAGCCUGAUCCAGCAAUGCCGCGUGCAGGAUGAAGGCCUUCGGGUUGUAAACUGCUUUUGUACGGAACGAAAAGGCGCCUACUAAUACUGGGUGUUGAUGACGGUACCGUAAGAAUAAGCACCGGCUAACUACGUGCCAGCCGCCGCAGUAA